rnacentral:rRNA from 1 species
AAUCAACGCUGGCGGCGUGCCUCAGACAUGCAAGUCGAACGAUUAAAGCUCUCUUCGGAGAGUGUAUAGAGUGGCGCACGGGUGAGUAACACGUAAGUAAUCUACCUUUGAGUGGGGAAUAACAGUCGGAAACGACUGCUAAUACCGCAUAAUGCAGCGGCAUCGCAAGAUGACAGUUGUUAAAGGAGCAAUCCGCUUAAAGAGGAGCUUGCGGCAGAUUAGCUAGUUGGUAAGGUAAUGGCUUACCAAGGCUACGAUCUGUAUCCGGUCUAAGAGGACGGUCGGACACACUGACACUGAAUAACGGGUCAGACUCCUACGGGAGGCAGCAGUCGGGAAGUUUU